AGGCAGAGCAUUUUCAUAUUAACCCUCUGACUCUUUUUAAUCUCAGACACACACACACACACACACACACACACAGUCUGCAGCUCCUCUCGGGUAUUUAAUCUCUCUUUGUCAGCCACGAAUUCUAUUACUUACUGAGAUCACUCAAAAGAAGUUAAAAGACGUAUAAGAAGUUCUGCUCUCUAAAUCUGCAUUUUUUUUCUUUUCUUCUGCACUUACUAAAUUAACCGAGCUAAUUGAGGUCUACCUCUCACCAGAACUCGUGUGAGCAGAUUAACCAGCAGCAACACUAUGUUACCAGGUGCUGAAGUCCAGGGCACUAGGGAGAUUAACAAUUACUUCAGCUGCAGAAAAAAAGAGGGGGGGAAGCUGUCAUCAAGAAGAGUCAGCAAUCAAGGUGCAAUAGCUGAACAGAGUGAAGACCUGCAAAGUUUGGAGGACAUGAUUCUGUGUUCCAUCCUCCACUUGUGCCAUUCUUGAUUAAGGGCUACUUCGAGUCUCUAUUUUUGCCAAUACAAGCCCUCUUUCAUCAGGCUACAGAACUCAGGCACACAUCCCCAGUGACUGAUAUACAGUAUCUCCGAGAGACAAGGAAAUGUUUUUUGCUGCUAAAUAUUCUGUAAGUUACAGCCACUUAAUGGUUUUUCUAUGAGCUAACUGACUUUUAGUACAUGACAUCCACAGAGAGAUUUAUUACUCGUUCUCUCACAUUAGCCAUUGACCAAGGCUUGCCUCAACCAUUACUCCUAGGAUAGCUAAUUUAACGUCACGAGCACCAGAUGGAAAUAUUCUACUCAGUCUGCAAAAACGUGUUUAAACUUUAAAAAACCCUUGAAAUCAAACGUGUGCUGUUAACAGCUCCCAAUCAGCCAGAUGGCAUGUCAUUUUUGUUUCAUUUACAUCUUAUAUCACAGCAAAUCAAAUCAAUGUGUACUGUACCCACAAAGCCAAUUCGUUUGACUUUGUUUCUUGAUGGGGCAUCGGUUAUUGGAAAAAAAUCAACAAUAAAUUGUCAUUGUAGGCAAAUUGUUGUGGUAUAACACAAUAUUUACUUAUGAAUUUGGUUGGAUGUUUUAUAUAUAUAUAAAAAAAAAUUGUGCUCAGGAUUAUGGAUCCAGUCAAUGCAUAUGAUGGGAAUACAUUCUAAAAAGUACACCAUGCAUUCACACAUUCACACCAAACUUUUGUUUAGAGUAGAAAACAUGCUUAUGUGUUUUUGGGUAGUUGAGAGGA